UACGUAGGGCGCAAGCGUUGUCCGGAAUUAUUGGGCGUAAAGAGCUCGUAGGUGGUUUGUUACGUCUGCUGUGAAAACCUAGGGCUUAACCCUGGGCCUGCAGUGGAUACGGGCAGACUAGAGGUAGGUAGGGGAGAAUGGAAUUCCCGGUGUAGCGGUGAAAUGCGCAGAUAUCGGGAGGAACACCGGUGGCGAAGGCGGUUCUCUGGGACGGUACUGACGCUGAGACGCGAAAGCGUGGGGAGCGAACAGG
rnacentral:rRNA from 1 species